AUCGCUUCUCGGCCUGAUGGCUAAGAUCAAAGUGUAGUAUCUGUUCUUAUCAGCUUAAUAUCUGAUACACUCCCCAUCGGGGAGUCAGAAUAUUAGUCUGAUUUUUGGAAUUCGGCGGAGUCGGCGGGGCUCGCUCCUCCUCUGCCACGGGUCGGCCCGGCAUUGCAGUGCUGCUGGGAUUGGCCCUACUUGU
rnacentral:snRNA from 13 species